CAGUCGCCACGGUAAUACGGAGGAUCCAAGCGUUAUCCGGAAUCAUCGGGUUUAAAGGGUCCGUAGGCGGUCUUGUAAGUCAGUGGUGAAAGCCCAUCGCUCAACGGUGGAACGGCCAUUGAUACUGCAGGACUUGAAUUAUUGGGAAGUAACUAGAAUAUGUAGUGUAGCGGUGAAAUGCUUAGAGAUUACAUGGAAUACCAAUUGCGAAGGCAGGUUACUACCAAUUGAUUGACGCUGAUGGACGAAAGCGUGGGUAGCGAACAGGAUUAGAUACCCCUGUAGUCCCUGUCUCUUAUAA
rnacentral:rRNA from 1 species